UGAUGAAAUAAAAAGAUGAACAGCGGCGGUGUAUUGUGUCUGUGUAAUUAAAGUUGACUCGGUUGUAUGAUGCAAGGUAUUAGUUUUCAUAAUGGCAGGAAUGUAAUUCUGCUGUAGAGAACGUUUAAAUAGUCGAGUCGUUAUGACUUUGAAUAUAUGAUUAUAUUACCGAUGGUCUACAGGUCUUGUUAUUUAGAGUAAUUGCGUCCCUUUUUGUUGAUUGAAACGUGAGGGGUCGUCUGAAUGGAGGAGGAAAAUUUUGAUUUUAUAAAAGCGAUAUCAAUGUACACAUAAUACGGGAUCUCUGUGCGUUGGUGAUUCUCUAGAGACGUAAAUUUUGAAUUUAAGAUAUUGAAGGCUCAAGUUGGCGAACAAAUGAAA